rnacentral:rRNA from 1 species
CGGAGGAAAAGAAACUAACAAGGAUUCCCCUAGUAACGGCGAGUGAAGCGGGAAGAGCUCAAAUUUGAAAUCUGGCAGUCUUCGAUUGUCCGAGUUGUAAUCUAUAGAGGCGUUUUCCGUGCCGGACCGUGUCCAAGUCUCCUGGAAAGGAGUAUCAAAGAGGGUGAUAAUCCCGUACUUAACACGACCACCGGUGCUCUGUGAUACGUCUUCUACGAGUCGAGUUGUUUGGGAAUGCAGCUCAAAAUGGGUGGUGAAUUCCAUCUAAAGCUAAAUAUUGGCGAGAGACCGAUAGCGAACAAGUACCGUGAGGGAAAGAUGAAAAGCACUUUGGAAAGAGAGUUAAACAGUACGUGAAAUUGUUGAAAGGGAAACGAUUGAAGUCAGUCGUGUUCUUUGGAUUCAGCCAGUUCUGCUGGUCUACUUCCUUGGAACGGGUCAACAUCAGUUUUGUCCGGUGGAUAAAGGUAGUAGGAAUGUGACUUCUCCGGAAGUGUUAUAGCCUAUUAUCACAUACACUGGGUGAGACUGAGGACUGCAGCUCGCCUUUAUGGCCGGCCUUCGGGCACGUUCGAGCUUAGGAUGUUGACAUAAUGGCUUUAAACGACCCGUCUUGAAACACG